rnacentral:rRNA from 1 species
UGGGGAAUUUUGCACAAUGGGGGAAACCCUGAUGCAGCGACGCCGCGUGAUUUAGAAGGCCUUCGGGUUGUAAAAAUCUUUUGUAUGGGAAGAAAAUGACAGUACCAUACGAAUAAGGACCGGCUAAUUACGUGCCAGCAGCCGCGGUAAUACGUAAGGUCCGAGCGUUGUCCGGAAUCAUUGGGCGUAAAGGGUACGUAGGCGGAUAAGCAAGUUAGAAGUGAAAUCCUAUAGCUCAACUAUAGUAAGCUUUUAAAACUGCUCAUCUUGAGGUAUGGAAGGGAAAGUGGAAUUCCUAGUGUAGCGGUGAAAUGCGCAGAUAUUAGGAGGAAUACCGGUGGCGAAGGCGACUAUCUGGCCAUAUACUGACGCUGAGGUACGAAAGCGUGGGUAGCAAACAGG